GUUCUGUAGCAAGUCGGGUGAUCGGCUGUCACCCACGGGCCUAAUUAGCAGUCACGUCCCAGGUCUUCCCGGGUUCAUUCAUCCGGGCAGUUAUCAGCACCCUCUGGUGAGAGAACAAAGACGGAGUACCGCCGUUUGUAGUCCCUUGGUCGUUACAGAGAUAAGGUGUAUUAUUCUUUGUGUCCGUGUCAGUGGCGACACAUACUUGAGGGCGGAUGUCUAUGAUGUGUGACUCUUUGUUGAAGCCUCUUAACAACCUGCUUAUGUAAUUGCUGCGAUGUUCCUUUUGUAGAGUCCCGGUGCUAACGACCCGACAAGUAGAACCGAAAGGUGACUGACAGGUCGUUGCUGGAAAUAGGAAAUAAAAAAGAUGGUUUAAAAUUGA
rnacentral:lncRNA from 1 species